rnacentral:rRNA from 1 species
AACGAACGCUGGCGGCAUGCCUAACACAUGCAAGUCGAACGAGACCUUCGGGUCUAGUGGCGCACGGUGCGUAACGCGUGGGAACCUGCCCUUAGGUUCGGAAUAACUCCCCGAAAGGGGUGCUAAUACCGGAUAAUGUCUUCGGACCAAAGAUUUAUCGCCUUUGGAUGGGCCCGCGUUGGAUUAGCUAGUUGGUAGGGUAAAAGCCUACCAAGGCGACGAUCCAUAGCUGGUCUGAGAGGAUGAUCAGCCACACUGGGACUGAGACACGGCCCAGACUCCUACGGGAGGCAGCAGUGGGGAAUAUUGGACAAUGGGCGAAAGCCUGAUCCAGCAAUGCCGCGUGAGUGAUGAAGGCCUUAGGGUUGUAAAGCUCUUUUACCCGGGAUGAUAAUGACAGUACCGGGAGAAUAAGCUCCGGCUAACUCCGUG